GGUGCUAUAGUGUAGUGGUUAUCACUCAGGAUUUUGACGAACUUCUGUUCAGAAUACACUUUCCUGAAACCCAGGUUCGAGCCCUGGUAGCACCU